GCAUUCUUGUACCGUGAAACUGCGAAUGGCUCAUUACAACAGUUAUAGUUUAUUUGAUCGUGCGGAGCUACGUGGAUAACCGUAGGAAUUCUAGAGCUAAUACAUGCACCGUCGCCGAAGAUCUUUGGUUAGACUUCGGCGGGAUUUAUUAGAUCAAAAACCAAUCGCUUCUUCUGUUUUUUCGGAUAGAGGCGUGGUGGGAUGAAUCAUAAUAACUUUACCGAAUCGUAUGGCCAAUCUUAGGCCGACGAUAAAUCAUUCAAAUUUCUGCCCUAUCAACUUUCGAUGGUAGGGUAGUGGCCUACCAUGGUGUUGACGGGUGACGGAGAAUUAGGGUUCGAUUCCGGAGAGGGAGCCUGAGAAACGGCUACCACAUCCAAGGAAGGCAGCAGGCGCGCAAAUUACCCAAUCCUGAUUCAGGGAGGUAGCGACAAGAAAUAACGAUAGUGGGCUCGUUCGAGUCCGCGCAUCGGAAUGAGGAUAAUUUACACCCCUUCUCGAGGAUCCAUUGGAGGGCAAGCCUGGUGCCAGCAGCCGCGGUAAUUCCAGCUCCAAUAGCGUGUACUAAAGUUGUUGCAGUUAAAAGGCUCGUAGUCGAAUGAAGGUAUCUUGUAUUGCGCGGACGUUUAGGUGUAACUUAGACUAGUUUGCGCACAAGAUCCUCCCUUGUGUAUCUCAAACGGUCAACUAUUAAAUUAUGUUGGUCCAUUUGAAAUACAUACAUUACUGUGAACAAAAUAGAGUGUUCAUGGCAGGUCAAUAUAGGCCUGAAUACCUCAGCAUGGAAUAAUAGAAUAGGACUUCCGGUUCUAUUUUGUUGGUUUUUGGAGCCGAAGUAA
rnacentral:rRNA from 1 species